GCAAAGUGUUUGGAUGCAUGACCUUACAUAGUCAAUAGUCAAUUUUGCGCGCGCCACCUCAGCAUAAUCCUACAUCUCGAACAGGUGGAUGGAUACAUGUAUACACAAUAUGACCAAUAUAGUGGACACAUUGUUCUUCAGAUGGUGAUUUCACCAAUGUAGCUGAUUUAACUUCGUCUAACAGCGAUUCAAGAUCGUUACACAUGUGAUGGAUAGAAAGGUGCACCCAUACACAUUUCGCAAUGAAGACCGGUACUUGCAUUUCAACUUCAGUCAAGACCCUUAUGUGGAAUUUGAUUACUGGAUAAACACGAUAGGAGUUGACGGGCUUUUUACCGAUUUUCCUGGUAGCCUCCACCAUUACCAGGAAUGGACCUCUUCACCUUCCGAUAAGCUCGUUGCCGACAAACUAUUGAAUGAAAUGGUUAUGUGAAA